AUACUCUUUUGAUGCCAGUAUCUGAUCUAAAUAUUUAUGAUAAAAUGUAUUAUUUUUUUAAGGAGCUUGAUGAGAUCUGUGAUAAAUGCUAGUACUCAAAAUCCAAAUCCCCAAACCUCAGUUGUUAACUCACUAACUGAACACAAACUCUACAGUCUGUUUUAGAAGUAAGUCUUGCAGCCUUACAGUAGUUAACAUGGUAAACCUUAGGAGAUAGUCAAAGUGGGGUGUGGUGGUGCACGCCUUUAUCUCUGUGAGUUUAGCCCAGCCUAUUCUCCAGAGUUCUAUGGAGUGAGAUUCGUGCCAUUAGUUUCAUGGUGAGACCCUGCCUUAAAAAAGAAAAAAAAAAGAAAAAAAAGAAAAAAAAGAAAAGAAAAGAAAAAAAAAAGAAACGGGCUUAAGUAAGGGGUAUAAAAUACCGAACUCUAAAUCAUGCACAUUUUCUCAACCUUGUACCUGAGGCAAAUUAUGAGUGUGAGAGCAGCCUGUCCUGGCCCUCAGGGGAAAGUGUGUCACAUUUGCAGCAAGGUCCUGUGCUGUGUGUGAAUGGACACCAUUCCUCUUUUCUCCACAAACAGUGCAGAGAGCUGUCUGCAGUGACAAUUUGAACAGAUUUCCCGGUACCCCCUCUGCUCCUGCAACACUACAAGUUCAAAGAAUGUUUGCUGUCACUGUCGUGAGCAGUGUCAUCACCGUGUGUGUUCAUGGACUGGUCUGAGAAGUCUGGAGAGGAGGACAGUUUAUGGGAGGCAGGAGGCCUUCCUGAAUUUCCACCCUGAUUGACCACAAAGCCCUGCUUUACUGGCUGGUAGGAGUUACUCCUAAAGAUGAGCCUUGCUUCCCAGGUGUGCUCUACAAAGCUGUUAACAGUGUGAAUUCAGCUCUCCUCUGUACAGAAAGGGAACCUUGUGUCACUUAAUGGAUUUGUUUAUACAGAGCUUUUGUUGCCAUCCACAGUUUCGGAGGUGGCAGGAGCACAUGGGAAGAGGAUUCUCCCUGUCUUUUACAAACCCUUUUCUUUAGUUGUAUCUGAUGACAGUAUAAGAUCUUAAUAAAGUUUUAUGUUCUUUUUGAAGA
rnacentral:lncRNA from 1 species